rnacentral:rRNA from 1 species
AUGCCUUACACAUGCAAGUCGAACGGCAGCACGGAGCUUGCUCUGGUGGCGAGUGGCGAACGGGUGAGUAAUAUAUCGGAACGUACCCUAGAGUGGGGGAUAACGUAGCGAAAGUUACGCUAAUACCGCAUACGAUCUAAGGAUGAAAGUGGGGGAUCGCAAGACCUCAUGCUCGUGGAGCGGCCGAUAUCUGAUUAGCUAGUUGGUAGGGUAAAAGCCUACCAAGGCAUCGAUCAGUAGCUGGUCUGAGAGGACGACCAGCCACACUGGAACUGAGACACGGUCCAGACUCCUACGGGAGGCAGCAGUGGGGAAUUUUGGACAAUGGGCGAAAGCCUGAUCCAGCAAUGCCGCGUGAGUGAAGAAGGCCUUCGGGUUGUAAAGCUCUUUUGUCAGGGAAGAAACGGUGAGAGCUAAUAUCUCUUGCUAAUGACGGUACCUGAAGAAUAAGCACCGGCUAACUACGUGCCAGCAGCCGCGGUAAUACGUAGGGUGCAAGCGUUAAUCGGAAUUACUGGGCGUAAAGCGUGCGCAGGCGGUUUUGUAAGUCUGAUGUGAAGUCCCCGGGCUCAACCU